UACGGAGGGUGCGAGCGUUGUCCGGAAUCAUUGGGCGUAAAGGGCGCGUAGGCGGUCUGCUAAGCGUGCGGUGAAAGCCUGGGGCUCAACCCCAGGUCUGCCGUGCGAACUGGUGGACUAGAGCACUGUAGAGGCAGGUGGAAUUCCGGGUGUAGCGGUGGAAUGCGUAGAGAUCCGGAAGAACACCGGUGGCGAAGGCGGCCUGCUGGGCAGUUGCUGACGCUGAGGCGCGACAGCGUGGGGAGCAAACAGGAUUGA
rnacentral:rRNA from 1 species